rnacentral:tRNA from 1 species
CCUGGGUGGUGUAAAUGGCUAACUGUUUGGCUGCUAACCAAAAGGAUGAAGGUUCAAAUUCACCCAGAG